AUUGAACGCUGGCGGCAGGCUUAACACAUGCAAGUCGAGCGGGGUGAUGGUGCUUGCACUAUCACUUAGCGGCGGACGGGUGAGUAAUGCUUAGGAAUCUGCCUAUUAGUGGGGGACAACAUCUCGAAAGGGAUGCUAAUACCGCAUACGUCCUACGAGAGAAAGCAGGGGAUCGCUUGUGACCUUGCGCUAAUAGAUGAGCCGAAGUCGGAUUAGCUAGUUGGUGGGGUAAAGGCCUACCAAGGCGACGAUCUGUAGCGGGUCUGAGAGGAUGAUCCGCCACACUGGGACUGAGACACGGCCCAGACUCCUACGGGAGGCAGCAGUGGGGAAUAUUGGACAAUGGGGGGAACCCUGAUCCAGCCAUGCCGCGUGUGUGAAGAAGGCCUUAUGGUUGUAAAGCACUUUAAGCGAGGAGGAGGCUCUUUUGGUUAAUACCCAAGAUGAGUGGACGUUACUCGCAGAAUAAGCACCGGCUAACUCUGUGCCAGCCGCCGCGGUAA
rnacentral:rRNA from 1 species